GUGCCUAUACAUGCAGUCGAGCGAUUGAUGGGAGCUUGCUCCCUGAUAUUAGCGGCGGACGGGCUGUGAGUAACACGUGGGUAACCUGCCUGUAAGAUUGGGAUAACUCCGGGAAACCGGAGCUAAUACCGGAUAACAUGUUGAACCGCAUGGUUCAACAUUGAAAGAUGGCUUUUGCUAUCACUUACAGAUGGACCCGCGGCGCAUUAGCUAGUUGGUGAGGUAACGGCUCACCAAGGCGACGAUGCGUAGCCGACCUGAGAGGGUGAUCGGCCACACUGGGACUGAGACACGGCCCAGACUCCUACGGGAGGCAGCAGUAGGGAAUCUUCCGCAAUGGACGAAAGUCUGACGGAGCAACGCCGCGUGAACGAUGAAGGCCUUCGGGUCGUAAAGUUCUGUUGUUAGGGAAGAACAAGUACCAGAGUAACUGCUGGUACCUUGACCGUACCCUAACCAGAAAGCCACGGCUAACUACGUGCCAGCAGCCGCGGUAAUACGUAGGGUGGCAAGCGUUGUCCGGAAUUAUUGGGCGUAAAGCGCGCGCAGGUUGGUUUCUUAAGUCUGAUGUGAAAGCCCCACGGGCUCAACCGUGGGAGGGGUCAUUGGGAAACUGGGGGAACUUGGAGUGCAGAAAAGGGAAAAGUGGAAUUCCAAGUG
rnacentral:rRNA from 2 species